AAUCACUUGUUCUUUAAAUGAGGACUCGUAUCAACGGCACUACGAGGGCUAUACUGUCUCCUUUUUCUAAUCAGUGAAACUGAUCUCCCCGUGAAGAAGCGGGGAUCAAAAUAUAAGACGAGAAGACCCCAUGGAGCUUUAAACUCACUAUACACCUCUGUGCCUUUAUGCCACUAGACACAAGAGAUCUGCGUACUAGUUUUAGGUUGGGGGGACCACGGAGUAUAAUUUAACCUCCAUAACAAAUGGGCUAACACCCUUAUCUACGAGACACAAUUCUAAGAAUUACUAAACUAAUGCUUAUGACCCGAUAUUCGAUCAAUGAACCAAGUUACCCUGGGGAUAACAGCGCAAUCUACUUCAAGAGCCCAUAUCGACAAGUG
rnacentral:rRNA from 1 species